AGCAGCCGCGGUAAUUCCAGCUCCAAUAGCGUAUAUUAAAGUUGUUGCAGUUAAAAAGCUCGUAGUUGAAUUUCGGGGUUAGUAGGUUGGUCGUGCCACUGGUACGUACUGGUCUCACUGACUCCUCCUUCCUGAUGAACUGUAAUGCCAUUAAUUUGGUGUUGCGGGGAAACUGGACUGUUACUUUGAAAAAAUUAGAGUGUUUAAAGCAAGCUAACGCUUGAAUACAUUAGCAUGGAAUAAUGAAAUAGGACGUUCGAUCCUAUUUUGUUGGUUUCUAGGAUUGACGUAAUGAUUAAUAGGGAUAGUUGGGGGCAUUAGUAUUCAAUUGUCAGAGGUGAAAUUCUUGGAUUUAUUGAAGACUAACUACUGCGAAAGCAUUUGCCAAGGAUGUUUUCUAUUAAUCAAGAACGAAAGUUAAGGGGAGUCGAAGACGAUCAGAUACGUCGUAGUCUUAACCAUAAACUAUGCCGACUAGGGAUCGGAUGAUGUUAAUUUUUUAAAUUGACUCAUUCGGCGC
rnacentral:rRNA from 1 species